rnacentral:misc_RNA from 1 species
GCCUAGUAUUACUAAUUAAAAUCCAAGGGCUUAAUUGAAAAAAGAAAAAAGGUGUAGUGUACAGGACCUAGAAUGCAGCCAGAGCAGUAAGCACCCCUUCACUUCUGAAAUAUAUCCAUUGCAAGUUCAUUGAUUGCCCAACAUCCGUAAAAAGGACAGAUUUCAAUAAUGCCAAAAUCAGCUCUUACUUUCUCCUGCUUUCAUAAUGGACGUCCAAAUUCAGCUACGCAUAAUUCUAGUUACAGAAAUUUGGCAGAAAGAUCAAUUCGUGCUUCAAAGUGGUCUAUUCCAGAUUUGCCUUGC